rnacentral:rRNA from 1 species
CCGGAUCGGAGUCUGCAACUCGACUCCGUGAAGUCGGAAUCGCUAGUAAUCGUAGAUCAGAAUGCUACGGUGAAUACGUUCCCGGGCCUUGUACACACCGCCCGUCACACCAUGGGAGUGGGCUGCAAAAGAAGUGGGUAGUUUAACCUUCGGGAGGACGCUCACCACUUUGUGGUUCAUGACUGGGGUGAAGUCGUAACAAGGUAGCCCUAGGGGAACCUGGGGCUGGAUCACCUCCUUAAACGAUAGAU